rnacentral:tRNA from 1 species
GCCGGUUUAGCUCAGUAGGUAGAGCAACUGACUUGUAAUCAGUAGGUCGCCAGUUCAAUUCCGGCAGCCGGCA